rnacentral:rRNA from 1 species
AGCGAACGCUGGCGGCAGGCCUAACACAUGCAAGUCGAACGAAGUCUUCGGACUUAGUGGCGGACGGGUGAGUAACACGUGGGAACGUGCCUUUAGGUUCGGAAUAACGCAGGGAAACUUGUGCUAAUACCGAAUGUGCCCUUCGGGGGAAAGAUUUAUCGCCUUUAGAGCGGCCCGCGUCUUAUUAGCUAGUUGGUGAGGUAAAGGCUAACCAAGGCGACGAUCAGUAGCUGGUCUGAGAGGAUGAUCAGCCACAUUGGGACUGAGACACGGCCCAAACUCCUACGGGAGGCAGCUGUGGGGAAUCUUGCGCAAUGGGCGAAAGCCUGACGCAGCCAUGCCGCGUGAAUGAUGAAGGUCUUAGGAUUGUAAAAUUCUUUCACCGGGGACGAUAAUGACGGUACCCGGAGAAGAAGCCCCGGCUAACUUCGUGCCAGCAGCCGCAGUAAGAC